UAGGGAAUCUUCGGCAAUGGACGGAAGUCUGACCGAGCAACGCCGCGUGAGUGAAGAAGGUUUUCGGAUCGUAAAGCUCUGUUGUAAGAGAAGAACGAGUGUGAGAGUGGAAAGUUCACACUGUGACGGUAUCUUACCAGAAAGGGACGGCUAACUACGUGCCAGCAGCCGCGGUAAUACGUAGGUCCCGAGCGUUGUCCGGAUUUAUUGGGCGUAAAGCGAGCGCAGGCGGUUAGAUAAGUCUGAAGUUAAAGGCUGUGGCUUAACCAUAGUAGGCUUUGGAAACUGUUUAACUUGAGUGCAAGAGGGGAGAGUGGAAUUCCAUGUGUAGCGGUGAAAUGCGUAGAUAUAUGGAGGAACACCGGUGGCGAAAGCGGCUCUCUGGCUUGUAACUGACGCUGAGGCUCGAAAGCGUGGGGAGCAAACAGGAUUAGAUACCCUGGUAGUCCACGCUGUAAACGAUGAGUGCUAGGUGUUAGACCCUUUCCGGGGUUUAGUGCCGUAGCUAACGCAUUAAGCACUCCGCCUGGGGAGUACGACCGCAAGU
rnacentral:rRNA from 1 species